rnacentral:rRNA from 1 species
AUUGAACGCUGGCGGCAUACUUUACACAUGCAAGUCGAACGGUAACAGGCCGCAAGGUGCUGACGAGUGGCGAACGGGUGAGUAAUGCAUCGGAACGUGCCCAGUCGUGGGGGAUAACGCAGCGAAAGCUGCGCUAAUACCGCAUACGAUCUCUGGAUGAAAGCGGGGGACCGAAAGGCCUCGCGCGAUUGGAGCGGCCGAUGUCAGAUUAGGUAGUUGGUGGGGUAAAGGCUCACCAAGCCAACGAUCUGUAGCUGGUCUGAGAGGACGACCAGCCACACUGGGACUGAGACACGGCCCAGACUCCUACGGGAGGCAGCAGUGGGGAAUUUUGGACAAUGGGCGCAAGCCUGAUCCAGCAAUGCCGCGUGCAGGAAGAAGGCCUUCGGGUUGUAAACUGCUUUUGUACGGAGCGAAACGGUCCUGGUUAAUACCUGGGGCUAAUGACGGUACCGUAAGAAUAAGCACCGGCUAACUACGUGCCAGCCGCCGCGGUAACAC